UUCAGCAACAAAUCCAUGCCUCGUCCUCUUCCAUCUCUUCUGCACUCCCUUUCUCCUAUCCUGUAUCCACCAAGCCGCGCAACCACCCAACACUCGCCGUGGCCGGCCAUGCCUCCUCCCCUCUCUUUCCUCCACCUCCCUCCCGGCCCGCCCGCCCUCCACCCCUCCCCAUCCUUCCACCGCGCCCGCCACGGCCCCUCCCUCCGCACAGCCCCACAGCCCCGAGCGCCGGCGGUGGCGGUAUCCGAGAACCCGUCCCCAGCGGCGCCCACUCCGGCGGACGUCGAGAUGUUCCGCGGCGUGGACGGCGUGUGGACGGCGCGGACCCCGACAGUGGUGGUGCUGUGGGACCUCGACAACAAGCCCCCGCGCGGGCCGCCCUUCGAGGCGGCCACCUCCCUCCGCGAGGCGGCCUCCCUCCUCGGCCGCGUCGACUCCGUCUCCGCCUUCGCCAACCGCCACGCCUUCACCCACCUCCCCGCCUGGGUCUCCGCCGACCGGCGCGACCGGCGCGCCCUCGACCGCGCCGAGCGCGCGGGCGUCGUGGCCCCGCCCAUCCCCUACUCCUGCGGCGUCUGCGGCCGCCGCUUCCCCACCCGCCCCGAUCUCGCCCGCCACUUCCGACAGCUCCACGAGCGCGAGCGCAACAAGAAGCUCGGCCGCCUCCGCAGCCUCAAGGGCAAGAAGCGCCAGAAAUUCCGCGAGCGGUACAUCUCCGGCAACACCAAGUACCAGGAGGCCGCGCGAGAGCUACUCACCCCCAAGGUCGGGUACGGGCUUGAUUCCGAGCUCCGACGCGCAGGCGUCCAUGUCCGUACCGUCCCUGACAAGCCGCAGGCCGCCGACCAAGCACUCAAGCGCCAGGUGAAGCACGCCAUCGCCUGUGGCGUCGACUGGGUCGUGCUCGUCUCCGAUGACUCCGACUUCACCGACACGGUGCGCAAUGCACGCGAUGCCGCCCUCAGGAUGGUUGUCGUCGGGGACGGGUGCCGAGCUCUUGGGAGGGUUGCUGACAUUUGGUUGCCUUGGGACAGCGUGCAAAAUGGGGAGGUCGAUGAGGAGAUGAUGCGGAGUGGGAGGGUUCCGGGAUUUGGAGAUUAUGAGGAUGACGAGGAAGAUGACGAGGAGUUCAUAGUGGAUUGGGACACAAGCCAACUGGAUGAUGUUGUUGAUGACAUUGUUACGACUAGGACCAAAGUGUUUGGCGCUACAGCAAUGUCUGCAUUUGCUGAAGAGGACAUUGUUGAUGGUAUAUCGGGGCUUGGGUUGAAGGAGGACGACAUGUUUUGGAGCAGCGACGACGAGGAUGAGGAUGGUUUUUUGUGAAAUUCCUUAGAUUGGCAGGAUGGAAAAUUUCAGUCGCCACUCAAAGUUUCCUUGUUCGGUCUCAGAGGAUCACUCGUUCACCUUCUUAGUAAAGCGAUAACCAUCACCUGACCUUCUUCAGCCUGCUUCUAUUUCUCUGGCAAAGUACAGAGUUUUGUGAACAAAGUGCUUAUUGUUGAUUGCAGCAGUGUUUAACUGAAGAUAGGUUGAUAUUAGUUCCUUCAUUUGUGGGUUGUAUGCAACUGCUAACUUGAGAAAUAAAUUCUGCACGCAAGUAGCUUCAGCAUUUCAGGAUUUGCUCAAAAAAUCCAACUGCCACUUCAACAUUCCCUAUUUGGUCACAGACAAUCACUCGUCCACCUCCUUAGUAAAGUGAACACCAUCGCCCAGCCUUCUUCAGCAUACUAAACUUGGAUCCCGUGCAAUGUUCCUGGCUAUACAAAUUCUUCAAUGCCUUGUAUCUUCAAGAAGUUUCAACACCACUUGAGAAAUAGAUCGAUGGUUCUCGAAUGACCACUGCCAAAUUUAAACUAGAAGGGGAGGACCUUGUCGUCGACAUUCAGGGAUGCAGCUUGCAGGUAACAGACCACCUGCUACGGCAGUAGCUGGAGCCAGAAUAGCCUCCUGCCUGGAGAAAGUUUAAGCAGGCGCAGAAGUUCACCUCACCAGCUAAUCUGAAGAAACAGAAGAACUGUGUGACCGCCAAUGCUAGUUGGACGCCCGCUGCUAUGAAGGGUGAGUGGUACGGUCUGGCGCGAACAUGAGAUACUUCCUUCCGGGAUUACACCGCUAAAAUGUGUAUUAGUAGUAGAUGGUUCAUUAGGAGAUUGAUUAGUGUCGGAUGAACAUCUGGUUGGUUCAGGGAAAUAUGAAAUGAUGGGUAAGCCAACGGUGAUGAACUGAUGGGAGCCAGCAAGGGAGAUGAAAUGUUGCCGAGGUCUUACCGCUGCAAAACCGAAUUACACCCACGUGAUAUUUUUGUUGAGUUGAAAAAGACACAGCUGAAAAGAGACGGCGGUUUUAUCUAGGGUUCAAGUACAGGUUUUGGACAGUAGGAUCAGGAUGUUACAUUUUGGACUCAUUCCUCGAUUUGGUACAUACGAGUUUUGGGAAAUGCACGUGGUAGCCUAAGAAGGAAGUUGUUUCUUCGGUCGGUGAACAACGAGGGGGUUGGUUACCUUAACAAAGGCUGAGAUGUUUCCUGGCAAACCUUUCUCUCUCCCAAUUCACAUUGUCGCCCGUUUUAAAAUGGUUGUGUUGGACUGUCUCUAAACUCACAUGCUUUAAUU